AAGCUUGUUUUUUUUUUUAAAUGAAGAAAUGGUAAAGAAGCAAGCAAGAAGAGUCAGUCUGAGGCUCCUCACUGUGACGGACUGAGGAGCUUUAUUUACUCCCUGCGGAUAGUGGCCUGCCACCAGAGAGGCCACAGGCCGGAGUGAUGGAGCUGACUCAUAGGGUAAGGAGAAAGUGGCCUGGAUCGUUGACAGAGGUAAGCAGUGUCCAAUUCCUCCUAGGCGGGGGAGGGAGAGGUUAUGGCAAAGAAAGCCGUUUCUAUUCCACUGGGCAAUUAAUGCCACCAUUUUUCUUGAAAAAGCGUUUUUUUUUUCAUAAGCCGUUGAGGAUAAUUUAACCCCCAUCUUGACAGGACGUACUAAUGACCGCUAAUGGAUACAUUCUUUUAAUAAAUGAAGAGGCACAAGAAAAUUGCCAGAUAUUAAACAGAGUCCCACAUGUCUUAUCUGAGACUAUAAUGGCUCUAUCAAGUGACCCAAGUGAAAGAAAUGUCACUCUUCAGAGGUUAAAGGAGUCUAUUUUUUCUUAGUGCGAUAUAAAUUCAUGGCUAGAAAGAACAGUAAUUCAUUGGUCUACCCUAGGAAAUGUUUAAAGGGGGCUGUAUCUCAAAUGAUGCAUUUUCUAUCGGUAGUAAAGAAAAUAUGAAAUAGGUACCUCUGUGCACUGUGGAUUUAUGUAAAUGGCUUUUUACCAGGUAAUAUAGCCUAAAGCUCUGUCAAGUCUCUAACGCUUGGAAUUUUUGGCAAAGAAAUGAAAGAACCUGUAAGUUAUCAUUAUUUUAUUUUAUUUUUUUCAAUACCUUCCAGGGUGUGGUCUUUUUGUUUGGUAAUUUUAAACUACAUUCUUGAAAAAGUUUCUCAAGAUUCAAGCAAUUCCUAGGACUGUAUGUACACUUGGGGAACAUUUCUUAAAAUACAUAACGAAUUCAAAUUAAUAAGAAAAAGACAACCCAGAAGAAAAAUGGACACGUGAAUUAAUCAGAAACUCAAGAGGUGGCGUAUAUUUGAGCAUGGAUCUAAAUGAGGUGAAGGAUUGAGAUGGCUGCUUGGGGAAGAACUUUCCAGGCAUGAAUGAAUGCCUGAAUUGAGCAUCUCCACUUCCUGAUAUGAGAGAAGAGACGUAACAAAGAUUCCUCCAGAACCAAAAGGAUCCGAGAUAAGGCUAACUUGAUUAACGUGCUUAAUGUGAAUGCCACACCUUGGGUUUCCCAGGAAGAAGACUCUCAGAUGAAGACCAGUGUUUAGGAAGCUUAUUAGGAAUGCUUGCGGGAUCAACACCUGCUGGGGAAGAAAGGCAGCAAGAUUGGGCAGAGGACAGAGUUGGGCUAUGGUGCAGUCUCAGUGGAGGUUUCCAUCGGCCAUCGGGAGUUCUGAAGCUGGGCUGGCCCUUCGGGGUGGUCCCAAGUUGGGGGCUGGAUCUUUAUGCCUCGCCUUAGUCCAUCAUUAGAUGUUGGCCAUCCCAGGAAGGAGUAUGACCUUGGGUGAGGUGGCUCCCCUCUGCCACAGUAGUCCUUGGCAGCUGAGGGCUACUUAAAUGAUUUCAACUUCUUCCUUUUGUUCCCCCAGCACCAGGAGUGAUGGUUCCUCAGCAGUGGAGGGAGGGAGUCCUUCCUUCCUGAAGGGGAUCUGGGUGGGCCAGUUCACUGUUCAUCACCGUGAGACAAGGCUCACUGUGGUUCCAGCUCCCAUAAAGGAAUCUCUCAGUCCCUGGCUCUGGCCACACCACUGUGGUAGAUGUGAGGUACUCAGGUCCUCUUUAAGGAAGGACUUGCUGCCCAACGGCAGGUGCUGCAGCCAGCAUCCAGCUGUCAGCCCCUACAGGGUCAGCCUUACUUGCAGAGAACCACCUUGCUCGAGGUCAUGCCCUUCCUGAAGCAGCUGGCAUCCGAUGUUGACCCCUCAUGAACACCUUGCACUCCAGUAUAUUUCUAAGUGCUUCUGAGAGCCCGGCCUGCAACACCACUUCUCCCCUCUGCCUCCAGCCUAGAGAUGGGAAUGGCUUCCUGCUGGUGCUAAUCUCUAGGUGGCCUCACCAUGUCCCAUUUGGACACUCUGCUCUUGCAUCAUCCAUGUAAUCAAUUAACUGCAUUAAAUCCCCAUCUCUUUAAAUAAAGUAGGUUCUGACACAGCCAACAUUAUACUGAAUGGGGAAAAGUUGAAAGCGUUCCUCCUGAGAACUGGAACAAGACAAGGAUGUUCACUUUCACCACUUCUAUUCAACAUAGUACUGGAAGUCCUAGCCAGAGCAAUCAGACAAGAGAAGGCAAUAAAGGACAUCCAAAAAAGUAAAGAGGAAGUCAAACUGUCACUGUUUGCUGAUGAUAUGAUUGUAUACCUAGAAAACCCUAAGAACUUAUCCAAAAAGCUCCUAGAACUGAUUAAUGAAUUCAGUAAAGUUUCAGGAUACAGAAUUAAUGUACACAAGUCAGUAGCACUGCUGUACACCAACAGUAACCAAGCUGAGAAUCAAAUCAAGAACUCAGCCUCUUUUACAAUAGCUGCAAAAAAUAAAAUAAAAUACUGAGGAAUAUACCUGUUACCAAGGAGGUGAAAGACCUCUACAAUGAAAACUAUAAAACACUGCUGAAAGAAAUCAUAGAUGACACAAACAAAUGGAAACACAUCUCAUGCUCAUGGAUGGGUAGAAUCAAUAUCGUGAAAAUGACCAUACUGCGAAAAGCAAUCUACAAAUUCAGUGCAAUUCCCAUCACAGUAUCACCAACAUUCUUCACAAAGCUGGAAAAAGCAAUCCUAAAAUUCAUAUGGAAUGAAAAAAGAGCCCGCAUAGCCAAAGCAAUACUAAGCAAAAAGAACAAAUCUAGAGGCGUCACAUUACCCAACUUCGAACUAUACUAUAAGGCCAUAGUCACCAAAACAGCAUGGUACUGGUAUAAAAUAGGUACAUAAACCAAUGGAACAGAAUAGAGAACCCAGAAAUAAAGCUGGAUACUUAUAGCUAACGAGUCUUCAACAAAGCAAACAAAAUAAAGUGGGGAAAGGACACCCCAUUCAACAAAUGGUGCUGGGAUAAUUGUCAAGCCACAUGUAGAAAAAAUGAAACUGGAUCCUCAUCUCUCAUUUUAUACAAAAAUCAACUCAAGAUGGAUCAAAGACUUAAGUCUAAGACCUGAAACCAUAAAAAUUCUAGAAGAUAACAUUGGAAAAACCCUUCUAGACAUUGGCAUAGGCAAAGACUUCACGACCAAGAACCCAAAAGAAAAUGCAACAGAAACAAAGAUAGAUAGGUAGGACUUAAUUAAACUAAAUUACUUCUACACAGCAAAAGAAAUUAUCAGUAUAGACCACCCACAGAAUAGGAGAAAAUCUUUGCAAUCUAUACAUCUGACAAAGGAUUAAUAUCCAGAAUCUACAAGGAACUCAGAUCAGCAAGAAAAAAACAAAGAAUCCCAUCAAAAAAUGGGCUAAGGACAUGAAUAAACAAUUCUCAAAAGAUGUACAAAGGGCCAACAAACAUAUGAAAAAAUAUUCAACAUCACUAAUUAUCAGGGAAAUGCAAAUCAAAACCACAAUGAGAUGCUACCUCACUCCUGCAAGAAUGGCCAUAAUCAAAGAUCAAAAAUAAUAGAUGUUGGCAUGGAUGUGAAGAAAAGGGAACACUUUUACACUGCUGGUGGGAAUGUAAACUAGUACAACCACCAUGGAAAACAGUGUGGAGAUUCCUUAAAGAACUAAAAAUAGAUGUACCAUUUGAUCCAGUGAUCCCACUACUAAGUAUCUACCCAGAGGAAAAGAAGUUAUUAUACUAAAAAGAUACUUGCACAUGGAUGUUUAUAGCAGCACAAUUCGCAAUUGCAAAAAUAUGGAACCAGCCCAAAUGCCCAUCAAUCAAUGAGUGGAUAAAGAAAAUGUGAGGGAUAAAAGACUACACAUUGGGUACAGUGUAUACUGCUUGUGUGAAGGGUGCACCAAAAUCCCAGAAGUCACCACUAAAGGACUUAUUCAUGUAACCAAACACCACCUGUUCCCCAAAAACCUAUUGAAAUGGAAAAUAAAUAAAGUAGGUUCUGUUUUCCUGGCUAGACACUGCCUGAUAUAGUGAGUUUUACAUCUAAACUUCAGUUUAUAUUCUCAUUUCCCUUGCUAAUCUAGUAUUUUAUAAGGGGGCCCUCAACUCAUAAAUAUAUAUUAAUAUAUAUAUGUUUGUGUGUAUAUAUUCCUCAUCUGCAACCAAACGCAGAUCGAAAAUACAGUAUUCCUGGAAUGUGACACCCACGUGUAUCAAGGGCCGACUUUUCAUAUAUGCAUGUUCCUCAGGGCCAACUGCAGGACUUAAGUAUGUGGAAAUCUGGAUAUGUGAGGGGGUCCUGGAACCAAUACCUUGUGGAUACCAAGAGAUGACUGUAUAUAUUUGCUCCAGCAGUGGAGAUGCAGCAUACAUAAGUGUUUUGCCAUGACUAUGCCCAAUGUCAUACUUGGGGUCAGGUUGAAGCCCAUGCUGAGGUCCAAGGGGAGUGGGUGGAUGGGCACAUAGCGGUAAGAACACUUGGAGGGCCGUAAGCAGGUGAAAAGUAGGUUUAUUCAGCAGCUCUCCCAUCAGCAGCUCUCUCACCCUGUCUGCCUUUAUCUUGGUUGUGUGCUGUGACUCUGUGGCUCCUUUCAGCAGUUGGCUCUGCACCUCUGGCUGCUUCCACACACAGGUGUAUGGCCAGCUUUCCCUUCCUUCAGGGUCAGCAGCUUAACUCUUUCCCUCUGGGCACAAACUGGUUUCUGGCUCCCCUCUGCCCGCUUUCAAGGCGACUGGCUCUCCCUUACAGGGAUCAGAAGCGUUACUCUCCGGGCACAGUAUGCACACUGUGUUGAGCCAUGUUUAGCCAUGCCCCAGAGUGCCUGUACGGUGUCAGCAGGGCAGUUAUACCUUUUCCAAACAAUAGUGGCUUUGAGCCAAAUAUGAGCUUACACAAACAGGUUAUAUAACAAAUAAGAGUAUGUACCUGCACCCUAAACUCGCCGAGUCAUGCAGGCCUGGAUGUCUGCCUCGGCCUAAUUCUUGACCAAAGCACAUGGAUGUACCUUACAGUAAGUAAGCCCAGCAAGCAGCAGAUGAUCCAUAACCCAUAUGAUCCUCAGGUGGGUCCUUAGCCAGCACUGCUCCUCACCGCCACUUGCUCUCAGCUAUCCCUGUGACCCCAGCUAAAAUUGGACAUGUUUGGCACCAGCAAUCCCCAAGCUGGCCUCUGGCUGUUUUGCACUGACCUUCCUCCUUCUCCUCUUCCUCCAUUAUCUUUGUGUCUGGCUCUGGCAUCACUUCCCUGGAUUUCUCCUGAGGGCAGAGCUCGGAGUAGGCUGAGGCAAGACAGGAGCCAAGGGCACACAAGUUAAGGACACAUUCACUUCUUAGGUUGUGCAAGUGCAGGCUGGGCAGUUCUUCUCUUUGGAGGGUUAAGAUGGGAAGCUGUUACACAGGAGGCUGAGUCAGGAGGAUUGCUUGAGCCCAGGAGUUUGAGGUUGCAGUGAACUAUG
rnacentral:lncRNA from 1 species